rnacentral:rRNA from 1 species
UACGUAGGGAGCAAGCGUUGUCCGGAAUCAUUGGGCGUAAAGCGCGCGUAGGCGGCCCUGUAAGUCCGUUGUGAAAGUCAAAGGCUCAACCUUUGAAAGCCGAUGGAUACUGCAGGGCUAGAGUCCGGAAGAGGCGAGUGGAAUUCCUGGUGUAGCGGUGGAAUGCGCAGAUAUCAGGAGGAACACCAAUAGCGAAGGCAGCUCGCUGGGACGGUACUGACGCUAAGGCGCGAAAGCGUGGGGGAGCGAACAGG